GAGUUUGAUCAUGGCUCAGAACGAACGCUGGCGGCACGCCUAACACAUGCAAGUCGAGCGCUUCCCUUCGGGGAGGAGCGGCGGACGGGUUAGUAACGCGUGGGAACAUACCCUUUUCUACGGAAUAGCCUCGGGAAACUGAGAGUAAUACCGUAUACGCCCUUCGGGGGAAAGAUUUAUCGGUUAAGGAUUGGCCCGCGUUAGAUUAGAUAGUUGGUGGGGUAAUGGCCUACCAAGUCUACGAUCUAUAGC
rnacentral:rRNA from 1 species